CACGUAGGGGGCAAGCGUUGUCCGGAUUCAUUGGGCGUAAAGAGCUCGUAGGCGGUUCGAUAAGUCGGGUGUGAAACCUCCAGGCUCAACCUGGAGACGCCACCCGAUACUGUCGUGACUAGAGUCCAGUAGGGGAGCGUGGAAUUCCUGGUGUGAGCGGUGGAAAUGCGCAGAUAUCAGGAGGAACACCAGCGGCGAAGGCGGCGCUCUGGGCUGGAACUGACGCUGAGGAGCGAAAGCGUGGGGAGCGAA
rnacentral:rRNA from 1 species